rnacentral:rRNA from 1 species
UACAGAGGGGGCAAGCGUUGUUCGGAAUUACUGGGCGUAAAGGGCGCGUAGGCGGCCUGCUAAGUCGAACGUGAAAUCCCCGGGCUCAACCCGGGAACUGCGUCCGAUACUGGCAGGCUUGAAUUCGGGAGAGGGAUGCGGAAUUCCAGGUGUAGCGGUGAAAUGCGUAGAUAUCAGGAGGAAUACCGGUGGCGAAAGCGACUCUCUGGACGGCAACUGACGCUGAGGCACGAAAGCGUGGGGAGCAAACAGG